rnacentral:rRNA from 1 species
CAGCUCCAAUAGCGUAUAUUAAAGUUGUUGCAGUUAAAAAGCUCGUAGUUGGAUCUAGGGACGCGCAUUUCAAGCGCCCGUGUCGUCGGGUCAAACCGGCGACUGCGUUGGCGUUGCGGGCUCGGUCCGUCGGUGCCCCACAAAGGGCUACUGGCGUGUCAACCGGCCCGCCCGUCCCCUCCUUCUGGAUUCCCGUUCCUGCUAUUGAGUUAGUGGGGACGUCACAGGGGGCUCAUCGUCGUGCGGCGUCAAAACCGUGCGGCGGUGGGUCCCUGGGGCCCAGAUCGUUUACCGUGAAAAAAUUAGAGUGUUCAAAGCAGGCAGAUCCAAUUUUCUGCCACCGAAUACAUUAGCAUGGGAUAAUGGAAUAGGACCCUGUCCUCCUAUUUUCAGUUGGUUUUGGCAGCGCGAGGACUAGGGUAAUGAUUAAUAGGGAUAGUUGGGGGCAUUAAUAUUUAAUUGUCAGAGGUGAAAUUCUUGGAUUUAUGAAAGAUUAACUUCUGCGAAAGCAUCUGCCAAGGAUGUUUUCAUUAAUCAAGAACGAAAGUUAGGGGAUCGAAGACGAUCAGAUACCGUCGUAGUCUUAACCAUAAACGAUGCCGACCAGCGAUUAGGAGACGUUGAAUACAAAACACCACCAUCGGCGCGGUCGUCCUUGGCGUCGGUCCUUCACGGGGCCGCCGCGAGGGCGGCUUAGCCCGGUGGCACCGGUGAA